rnacentral:rRNA from 1 species
AGAGUUUGAUCCUGGCUCAGGAUGAACGCUGGCGGCGUGCCUAACACAUGCAAGUCGAGCGAUUUACUUCGGUAAAGAGCGGCGGACGGGUGAGUAACGCGUGGGUAACCUGCCUCAUACACAUGGAUAACAUACCGAAAGGUAUGCUAAUACAGGAUAAUAUAAGAGAUUCGCAUGGAUUUCUUAUCAAAGCUCCGGCGGUAUGAGAUGGACCCGCGUCUGAUUAGCUAGUUGGUAGGGUAACGGCUUACCAAGGCGACGAUCAGUAGCCGACCUGAGAGGGUGAUCGGCCACAUUGGAACUGAGACACGGUCCAAACUCCUACGGGAGGCAGCAGUGGGGAAUAUUGCACAAUGGGCGAAAGCCUGAUGCAGCAACGCCGCGUGAGCGAUGAAGGCCUUCGGGUCGUAAAGCUCUGUCCUCAAGGAAGAUAAUGACGGUACUUGAGGAGGAAGCCCCGGCUAACUACGUGCCAGCAGCCGCGGUAAUACGUAGGGGGCUAGCGUUAUCCGGAUUUACUGGGCGUAAAGGGUGCGUAGGUGGUUUCUUAAGUCAGGAGUGAAAGGCUACGGCUUAACCGUAGUAAGCUCUUGAAACUGGGAAACUUGAGUGCAGGAGAGGAAAGUGGAAUUCCUAGUGUAGCGGUGAAAUGCGUAGAUAUUAGGAGGAACACCAGUAGCGAAGGCGGCUUUCUGGACUGUAACUGACACUGAGGCACGGAAGCGUGGGGAGCAAACAGGAUUAGAUACCCUGGUAGUCCACGCCGUAAACGAUGAUUACUAGGUGUGGGGGGACUGACCCCUUCCGUGCCGGAGCAAACGCAAUAAGUAAUCCACCUGGGGAGUACGGCCGCAAGGCUGAAACUCAAAGGAAUUGACGGGGGCCCGCACAAGCAGUGGAGUAUGUGGUUUAAUUCGAAGCAACGCGAAGAACCUUACCAGGUCUUGACAUCGAGUGAAGACUUAAGAGAUUAAGUCGCCUUCGGGCACAAAGACAGGUGGUGCAUGGUUGUCGUCAGCUCGUGUCGUGAGAUGUUGGGUUAAGUCCCGCAACGAGCGCAACCCUUACCAUUAGUUGCUACGCAAGAGCACUCUAAUGGGACUGCCGUUGACAAAACGGAGGAAGGUGGGGAUGACGUCAAAUCAUCAUGCCCCUUAUGACCUGGGCUACACACGUACUACAAUGGCAAUAAAACAGAGGGAAGCAAUACAGCGAUGUAAAGCAAAACCCGAAAAAUUGUCUCAGUUCGGAUUGCAGGCUGCAACUCGCCUGCAUGAAGUCGGAAUUGCUAGUAAUCGCAGAUCAGCAUGCUGCGGUGAAUACGUUCCCGGGCCUUGCACACACCGCCCGUCA